GAUGAACGCUGGCGGCGUGCCUAAUACAUGCAAGUCGAGCGAACAGAUGAGGAGCUUGCUCCUCUGACGUUAGCGGCGGACGGGUGAGUAACACGUGGAUAACCUACCUAUAAGACUGGGAUAACUUCGGGAAACCGGAGCUAAUACCGGAUAAUAUAUUGAACCGCAUGGUUCAAUAGUGAAAGACGGUCUUGCUGUCACUUAUAGAUGGAUCCGCGCCGCAUUAGCUAGUUGGUAAGGUAACGGCUUACCAAGGCAACGAUGCGUAGCCGACCUGAGAGGGUGAUCGGCCACACUGGAACUGAGACACGGUCCAGACUCCUACGGGAGGCAGCAGUAGGGAAUCUUCCGCAAUGGGCGAAAGCCUGACGGAGCAACGCCGCGUGAGUGAUGAAGGUCUUCGGAUCGUAAAACCCUGUUAUUAGGGAAGAACAAAUGUGUAAGUAACUAUGCACGUCUUGACGGUACCUAAUCAGAAAGCCACGGCUAACUACGUG
rnacentral:rRNA from 1 species